AUAACCUCUACACACUGACCCAUUCACCUGUGUGACCACGCACGGCAGAGGCAACAGGGCCACGCUCCCUUGAUCAGGCUGAGGCUCUAGAGCCAGCGGCCUCCCCCUGCCGUAGAAGGCCUUUAUAGGAAACACAUGGUCUCUCCAGUACCGCGUGGAAUCAAAACAAGCUUCGGAACCAUUCCCUACCCACCCUAGACCUUCCUCCGGGCCCGAGAAGCAGAAGCGGCUCCUGACCUAGAGGCACCGGACAUGGGAAUGGAGGUCUCUUUGACUCUCUGGACCAGACUACUGAACCACCUCACUGGAUACCAUGAGCAGCAGAAGCCACUGCUCCCAGAGCGAGGGCCUUCUACUUUUGUCAGUUCCGCCUCCUUUAGCGGAGCCUACACCAUGAGCUCCCUGUCUUUCAGGACAUGAGGUGGAAGAUUGUCCUGUUCCAUCUUUUCAACAUCUCCUGACUCGGCCUCCCUUCUGUUUCCCCCACUGCCACCCAAGAUCAGGUUUGCCCUCUG
rnacentral:lncRNA from 1 species